CUGAACCACAAACCGGUGAAUUCGGUUUUUCUCUCCCGACUCCCGUCUCCUCUCCUCUCGUGUCUCGUCUUGGUCGGUUGGAGGUGCAAUGGCGACGGCGACGGCGACCCUCCGUUCCCAUGUCUCCCCUCGCCCUCUUUCUUUGGUAAAGCUGCGUUUUUGGCCCUUUUUCUCGGUGCCCAGAAGCUCCGAGGGGGAAGAAAGUCGGCUCCGCUCUUCUGGGUUUUGGCUUUUGGUCGAGUCUUGGGGGCUUCGAUGGUGGAUGUGGUUCGACUGUCUUCAUUGCGCUUCUCUUCUUCUCCUUCUUCUUCGUCUCUGACGCCGUCCUCUUCGCGCCAGCGUGGUGCCCUCUGCCCUCCUCCUCAUAAGCUCCACAGGUGGUCCGAUGCUUCUGCGAAUUGCUCCCACGGUGGUGGCGUUGCGGGUCUUGGUUUCAGAACCCGAAAGCGAUUUGCCUCUUUGAAGGACACAAUGGUGUAACCGCUUUAGCAUUGCCAGCACAGUCACAAUAUCCCAAUUUUGGAAAUGCCAUGGAGGUUUCAAAUGAUAAAAGUGCCCAUCUUGCUGCACAACAGCACAUACCUAUAGACCGUUGGAAUGUUCCGAUUUCUCCAGAAGAAAAUGGUAUUGCUACGGUCGAAUUGCUAGUACAGUCCCAUGCCCCGGUGCCUCAGAAUCAAGCUUCCAAUCUAGUAGUACACCUCCUCUAUCUGAAGGCUAUCAAGUGGUGGAAGAUGUACAUCAACCAUUUCAGAUGAUGGUUUGAAGAACUGGCUGGCUGGUGUGUUUAGUCAAAACCCACCAUAUGACGAAGGUUUUGUUAGAGGUACAAAGCAAAGGUGUUAAUGGCUAGCUCAAUAUAAAGGCGAUGAUGCAGUGGGGUUUCUUCAUUAGGAAGAGAAGUGUCAGAAUUGUGCAAUUAGAUGAACCACUGAUUGUAGUUCAAGCUUGAUUUGAAUUUUCUUACUAUCAAUUAGGUAAGAUGAUUCUCUGUUUAUUGUAUGAUGAAAUCGAUGGUACAUUUCCUUAUAUGAGGGCAUAUUAAGUACUUAUCUGUGUUUGACCUCGUCAUCAUUGAUAAAGUUACUUGUUUAUUUAUAGAACAACUUUGUUACCUUAUGAAGUGACUAAUUUUCUUAUCAAA